AGACUAGUGCCUGAUAAAAAGGAUUAUCUUGAUAGGGUAAAUAAUGUAGUUUGCUACCUAGUCUA
rnacentral:tRNA from 1 species